CGGCGGAGAAAGCACGUGGUCCUCCUGCAUUUUACUGUGAAUCUGGAAACAAGGGUGGCAAGAUUAGAUCCUUUUGCAUGGUUUCAUUCCUGCAGCAUCCACAGUGUAGAGCAAUCAUUCCUAUGCAGAGGCUGUGAGUGCAGUGCACGACUAGAGAUAGGAUUCAGAGAAGAACAAUUCCUUUUCUCCCAGGAGUAGGGAGGUAGCUGAUUUCUAAACACGUGGUUAAAUGGCUAGGUCCUUGUUACAGAUAUCUGCACACUUGUGAAUCAAUUGCUCGAUUUUAGUGUUGCAGCUGCAUGAUACGCAAUGUAGGGCUGAGUGAGCUCCUGGUGGCUGAGAAUCUGGACCUUAACAUAAGAUUCCUAGAGAGCGACCUCACCUGCUGGAAUUUUAUUACCUUUUAAAGACUACUAUUAAUAAGACUAUAAAGUCUAUUAAAGACUCUCAAUACCCAGGUUUUAUGCAUCUAUUACUGCUUAACACUCAGAAAUGUGGGAAAGUCAUUUUUACAGCUAUGCACACCUCAGGGAAGAAAUUAACCGCUAGCUUCAUUUUAAUCAAUAUGUGUAAGUAGCUCUUUUACUCAAAUCAUAAUAUCCAUCUAAAUAUGCAAACCAAGCAUGGCUUCUAUUUGCAUGGAGUAGUUGUAGGCUCAGGGACUAAUACAGCUUUUAUUCACAAUCGUAUUUAUUUUAUUUUGAAUCAGCUAUUGCCUUAUAUCCCACCACGUUUGGAUUACCUAGACGCAAAUACAUGAGGAUAAUACCAGAAUUGCAAAGUGAAUUCACUGUGGUUAUCUCUCUUGAUAAUGGAUUAAACUAAAGAAUUUUCUAGCCUGUCUUCAUAUUUUAAAAGUAUAAAUUUUAGGAGUGGGAUUCAGCUAUAUUUUAUUUAAGCUGUGAUGAUUUUCAAUCAGUAGUUAAUCUUCCAAUUACCAGAUUUAGUUAAAAUUAUAACCAUCUAAAAGCACAUGUAGUACAAUUAGAGCCAUUUGAGAAUUAUUGCAAAGACAGUAAUAAAUUAUUCUGUGUCCACUUAGAAUGGUGUACAAAAUAAUGGGAUUAAUUUUCAGCAAAUGGGAUUUAGGUUAGGCUUUAGAAAAAGCUUUGUAAUGCUGAAGAUAGUCAAACAGUGAAAAGUCCUCUGGACUCUAUCUCCAGUGACGCCCAGAGCUUAAAUGACCAUUUGUUCUUAGUUGUUUAGGUAUGGCCCAGCCUUCCUUAAGGGAUGGAACCCUACACCUCCAGAAAUUCUUUUCAAGCCAUGCCCAGUUCUUUUGUAUUUUUAUUUUGAAUUGGCAGUACUGUUGCCUUCAGUUUUUUACAGCUGUUUUUUAAAAGAUGUUUUAGAAAGGUUCGUUAUGCUGUUACUUUAUUAAGCCUUUUCUCCAAAUUUAUAUCUCUUUGUGACCAGCAACAGAUUUCUGAGACCAAGGUAUGUGAUGUUUUGGUUUCAUUUAUAUGGAGAUUUUGAGAUUGUUUUGAGAUUUCAGCUUAUCUUUUGGUCAUUUACUUAGCUAAAUGGAAAGAAUAUGAAGAGAUUUUCAAUUCGUUAAGUUUACAUUGUGUUCACUCAGAAUCUUUCUGCUGAUACCAAGAGCUUCGCAGUGAGAGCACUUGGGAGUGACUAAAAUACUUAACGUGUUACUGAUAAAGAAAGGCAUUUGUUUUUCAGAGCAUCACUUUCCAGGUUGCUUAUUGCUUAUAUUCCCCCGGCAGUUUUUUUCACAAUAAUAUAUUGUCCUAUCGCUUCUCUUCUCUUAAAUGGAUAUUACAGUGUUAGAAAUGUGUUAUAGAACAGAAGAAGCAGAGAAAAAAGAAAUGGUUUCUUCUUUGUUAUAUUGUGGUUCUUUGGCAGUUGUCUGAAGGCUUUUCAGGUUUUGCAUUGUGUAAGCUGUUCUGAAGAAAACAGGACUUGGUAAGCUUUCUUUUGUGCAGCUCUGAUAAUGCAUCUAUUCACUGCAGUCACCAAUUUGUGCCAAAAUUGGGAGCAAUAAAAAGCUUCCCUUUCAUAGGACAAUAGGUAAGAGUAGGGUUAUAUUAGUAUGCAAAGUGCUUUCCAUUUAUUCGUUACACACUUUCUGAGAUUUGUGCCUCGAGGGACACUUUUGUGUUCAGGCCGGGAGAAAACUCAGAUACUUAAAAGGUAUGCAAAUUCUUUAUGAAAUAUUCUCAAAACACCAAAUGAUUUCAAAAGUAUCUCGUGGUAUAUUAGAAGCCUGUAACUAUGGGAUUAUACUAUGUCUAUAACAGGAAGUAGUGGAGACUUCAAGUAAGCUUUUAUUUAUUUAUUUAUUUUUAAUUAGAAUUUUAAAUACCUUCUGUAUAAAUAAGCUACUUAUAAUUAAAUCUAGAAUCUCCCAGGGGCUGUAGUUUACCAGCACAUUCAUCUAGACCAUUAUAAACACGCAGAGACAUUCAAAGGCUGAUAGUGACGCAUUUCCAUAUUGCUGGUGCACUACCAAAAUCGGGUUAGAAAAAGAAAUAUGACAAGCUGUUGUAAUUAUAGUUAGAACAUUGCUGGCAAUUUUUAAAAAUAAUGAAUGGAAUCAGAGGCUAAAAAAAACCCAACAUAUAAUAAUCACAGCUGAAUUAGGCUGCAUAAGUCUACUCCAAGGCCUAAAAGAGUUUCAGGUGCUGUGGAACAGACUCUUGCUGUACACAUUUUGGAUUCAGUACAGAGAAGCACAUCUGAACCUGGCCCAUGGCAUCACUUAGCCCACAUUUUUUUGCCUCUUUGCUGUGCUGUAUUUUGGUGCUUUGGUGUCACUGAACCGAAUUGCGCUUAAAUUUUCUUUGAUCCUGAAAGACCCUCAGCUACAAAAAUACCAAAAUACUGUUGUUAGAGGUAUGUUCAUAACGAAUUGGGUAUAAUUGCAUUACUUGAGUGAUAAGAAACAUGACUUUUCAAAGUAGUAUAGAUUGCAUUACAGGAAAUGAUCUGGGAAAGAUCUAUCAAUCUCCUCAUAUAUUUUUAUGCUUUUUUUGUCCUGUGUGAGUACACAAGCAGGACGAAUCAAAAUAUGGAAGACCAGGAGGCCAGCACAGCGUGCUUAAUUGCCUACAUGAAGGGUAACAAGCUUCUCCUCCAGUUUCAUGCUAGCCAGUUGGAAACCACUGAGGAGCGUGAGAGCCCCAACGUCGUCUCAGUGGAUGUUCCAGACAUCUCUAUUCCUGAAAGAUUCUUGGUCUCCAGCAAGAGAUAUUCGCCACCAAUGCUGGACAUCUGUGGUCUCUGAGAACUGCUCAAGUUGACAUGGAAAUCAGAAAGAAGGAAAAUAAAGAAGAGGUGAAGUAAUUUCUUUGAAUUCACAGUAAACCAGCAGACUCCUGGAUCAAAGUCAGGCUAAUAGACCAAGGGCAAAUACAGCUGUGGGGAUUGGCCUCUUCUCCCAGGUAACUAGAGACAGAACAAGAUGUAAUGACUUUAAGCUGACCCAGGGGAGGUUCAGGUUUGAUACUGGGAAAAAUGUCUUCUCAGAAAGGAUGGUGAAGCUUGGAACAGGCUGCCCAGGGAGGUGAUGGAGUCACCAUCCCUGCAGGUGUUCAAGAAAAGGGUAGAUGUCGCACUAAGCGACAUGAUUUAUUGGUAUGGUGGUGGUGGGUUUAUGGCUGAACUAGAUGAUCUGAGUGGUCUUUCCAGCCUUAAUGAUUCUACAAUUCUUCACUCAUCCUUCUUCCUAAAUGCAGAUACUAUGUUUGCUGCUUUUGACUCCUACGUUGUCACUGUUUUAGUAUUGUAUUUAUUAUAUUAUCCCAUUUAUUAUAGAAGCACAAUAGCAGACCCAUUGCUCCCUCAGGCUCUGGUCCUGCCAAAGGACGGAAACAGGAACGUUGUAAUCACUCUGCAGAUGUCUCCCUGUUCCAGAUUCCUCUUUUCAUGUUUACUGUUCGUCUGCUUUGCGAUGACUAAUGAUUAAAAUCUCAGUGUAGAGAGGAUUUCAGUACAAACACAAAGGAGAAUCCGAAGAACUCAGUCAUGUGUCUCAGGUGUGUAUAGUUUAAGGAGGCUUAAGUGCUUUUCUGGACAGGAGCCUAAAGAACCCGUAAGUUAUUAUUCUGUGUCAUUGCUAUCAAUACCUCUCUCUCUGUGUGUCCUGAAUGUGUCUCACAAGUGCUCCUGAGGGCACAGUGAACACCCCAUGAGAUUAGGUAUUUCUUUUCCCUCCUGGUCUUCAGCUUCCCUGUGCAGCCUAUGAACUCAGUGACAGCCUGGACCCAUGUAGUGAAACUGGAAGAGAAAAUAAAGCUGUUUUCAGAGUCAGAUCUCCAGCAGUUGUAAACUGUGUUUAGAUUAGAUCUUAGAGGUGUGCUUUUGUGCUGCGUUGUGUGAAUACACGACUGACAGCCAUACUAGCAAGGUAGAAAGUAAUAAGUGGUGUAGGCUGUGAGUUCUGUGGAUUGGCUCCAGAAGGAAUUUAACCAUACGCACAACUGACUGUGUUCAAGGCGUACCGAGUACACCAGUUUGCAUACUUCAUUACCGACCUGGCUAAUAUGAAGGGAAAAUGGCCAUAAUUUUGACAGAUUAAAAUAAGGAAAACAUUUUUACAGAACCAUCCAUUCAUCUGAAGAUUCACCACUUCCUUUAUGCAUUCAUUGGAAGGUGCAUCACCAUUUUCUUCAUGAUUUAUUUCCUUGAAUCUAGUCUGAUUAAACACUGCAAGAUUUAUUUCUUCAAUAUUAUAUUCCUCAUAGAAUUUUAAUUGUGGAACAGUGGAAAAAAGAGCCAGAGCAGAAUAAAAACAUAUUGAUUUAAUUCAAUUUUUAUACUCACUUCAAGUUAUUUUACCUCUGAGGGUAAGUGUGUUUGGGGAUGGUGAGGGGAAUACAAACUAUAAAUUCUCCCUGAUUGAUCAGUAAUAAAAAUAAAUUAUCUCAUUUACAAAUUUACAAUUAAGCAAGGAAACAGUGAAUGGCCAUAUUAGUUUGACAGUAGGUGCCAUGGGGCACAUAUAAAAGGGAGUAAUGACAGAGCAGCAAAAAACUAAUUUUAGUCAAAGAACAUUCUCCAUUAUCUCCAGAAAAUAUGGCACUUUUUAGCACAUUUUGGAUCCAUCUUCUUGCAAAUGGAGCUUUGAAAUCAAUACGUAUUACCAAGAGAGGACUUUUCUAAGAGUGUACUUGUAACAAGAUCAAGAAAUCAAAGAGUUUGCCCACUGUGAGGUAUUUACAGUAAUAAUUUUUAAUAGAAAAAUAUUUAAUGGUUCAAUUUGAAUUUGUCAUGAAACCUGUCCACACUGGAUUAGUUGCUACUCUAAUGCAUGGUAUAUCAUGCAGAGCAAAUCAUUAACGCAAGACAUUUUGGAAUGUGAAAAAUCUCAUGAGCUCUUCCCUUCCCUCCACCUGCCCACUUUUGUGCAUUUAUUUUUGGCUGGGUUUAAUUUAUUACAUGUAUUCUUGGUAUUUGUGUUACUGAAUUAUUUGGAGUCCUUAGACAUGGCCAGGACUUGGGGCCGGAUGGUGGUAUACAGACCAGAUUAAAAAGCUGUAGUGCAAGAAAAGGAAAAUCUGUACUAUCGAUCAGCUUUGCCAGAUAUACCACCCCAGCAGCCCAGAGGCUUUUUCUCUAGCUUCUCAGCAAAGGAGAGUUUCAAAGAAUCCAACAGAUGUUUGCUCCUGCUGGGCUGAGCUGUGAUGCUGGAGAUUUCAAGAAGAUGCUCCACGGCAAUUGAGUGGCCUUCUCAUUGCAAGGCAAUGCUGGGGAAUGCCUACUCCCAAAGGCAGAUACAAAGUGUAAAAAGAAGUCUUUGGAAAUGAGGCUUAUAUCUGAAGUAAUGGGUAUGAGGUCCUGGCAGGGUCAUGCCUGGAGAGAGGUAGCACACCGAAGCUGACAAGGUAGGGAAACCGUCCAUCCAGGAGGAUAACAGAGAAUAGAAGUGAGUUCAUUCUCUCAUUUUGAUCUGAUAUAAUGCCUUGAAUCUGGGAAAAUAUAUGGCAAAACUUUUCAUAAAAAUUAUUUAUUUAUUAACAUGUGAGAAUAGAUGCAUUUCACAGUUUUAUUUUGUUGUUUCCUGUCUGCUGUUUCUUCAACUCUCAUACCUGUUAAAUGGCAAAAAACAAUACUUAUUUAUGUGUAGAGGCUGUGAGUGUGCGGGUCUGCUAGAGAAUUUGUGGGCAAUCAAUACGACUGAUUUGAUUUUCAGGCAUGCCGAAUAGCACUGGUUCCACACGGCGUUAACAGCACCAGUAAACUGCCAAUGUUAUACGUGGAGUUAAGUGUUCUUGGUUGUUUUUUUUUUUUUUAAUCAGUAUCUGUGGGGAAAAAGAAGGUAACUUGACUUUUAAAAUUUCAAGCUUCACCUCACAUUUGUUAAUCAUAUUACAAUUUCCAGACUCCUCACGUGAGUUGCAAACACAGUAGUCAAGAUGUAGCCUGCAUCCUUGGGAGCACCCUGUGCUCCUGCAUGUCAGUCUUGGGCUGCUGGAGCUUUAUCGCUGCUUUCACAGGUGUCAUGUUUCCAUGCAUAAUUAGUAAGCAAACACUUCAUACAGUGUUGUCAGUGGAUAAUGUUAUUAUAUUGUACAUCAUGCAUUGAAAUCAAAGUGGACCAAGACUAAUUUUUACUAGUAUCUUAGGAGAUUUUGCAGACAUCAGGCAGGCUGAGAGAUAUCUGAACAUUAUUUCUAAGGAAAAGAUGAAAGUGUUUCACAACAUAUUGAUCUGUACCUGAGCAUGAAUGAUUAAUGUGCUUUGGUCCAACUGCAGCUGGAUUUCUUUUGAUAACAGCGAUGGAGCAGGCUAUGAUCUCAUAUCCACUGAUAGAUAGAUCGAUAGAUAUAGAAACCUUCUUGGUUUGGCCUCAUGUCAGAAGAAAUUGUAUAGACUGGAUGUAAAAAGGCCUGGGACAAUUGCACAGCCCAUAUUGUAAAGAUGAAAGCAGCCUGCUCUUUCUGGUACAUCCCUGCUUUGAUCUACACAGCGUGGAAAACCAAGACCUUGCCCAGCAUAAUGCUGCAGGCUCCUGGCAUGUUGCAAGUCUUUGGGAUAGAGAGAGGAAAAGUUAUGUUCAUUCACAGUGAUAGCCUUCAUUUUCACUGUCCCCACACUUUGAAAUGGGAAGUAAACACCUUUUCUCAUGGCUGUGUAUCAUACACACUGGAAUAAACCUGGUGUCUAAUGAGGCAGCUGAGAGCUCAAUGGCAGUAUUGCAAAUAAGGCUUCAGACGCAUCCUGUUUAAAAUGGAUUUUUAAUCUGAGGUGUUUGAGUUUCUCAAGAAAAUGAAAUUAAACUUAUUUCUCACUAUCACCCAUCGGUUUAAGAACAAAAAAAGCCAUGAAUUACUCACAUUUUUCUUCAGGACUUUUGUCAGAUAGAAUGUAUCUACUUAUCUAUGUGUGUCCAUCGCUACUUUUGCCUGGUACAUAAAAUAUUUCUAGGACAUUUCUUGUAAAAAUGCAUAAACUAAUUCACAAGUGCUGGCCUCUAAAGACUGAGCCUGCUUCCAUAGACAAGAAAGAGAUGGAGAAAAACUCAGUCAGAAGUGACGUGCAAAGUGAAGAGACAUUUCUGAGAACUGGCUCUCUCUUUUCUUCCUCAGGAUCCUUGAAUUAGAAAUGUAGAUUUGCUGGGAUUAUAUUCUUUCACAGCUCAGAAAUUAAUGUGCCACAUUUCUUUAGGGCUUGUAGCCACUUCACUGCAGAAUAUUUUCCUUUCUUUAUUGUAUCUGUGACUUGCAGCUGGAAAUCCAGAAUGGAUGAGCCUUACGUGGCCACAACACAAUGCAGUCUGACAAAACACUUAAUAAAUGCCAUGAAGAAGUGAUGGACAGCCUGCUGCUAAACAGCCAUUGCCAGACACCAACAAUACUAUGUGCAUCUGUCUGAUAAUAGGAAACCAUAAUUAUUUUCUUUUCACGCAGCUUGUGAAUAUGGAGCAAAAUCUCUUCCUUUGCGGAGCUGAAGAUGACUGCUUGUACACUGAUGAAUGGCUCUGAUGUUAUUAGCCACAGCUAUUGACUUGCCCGGCCCCCAGAUAACACGAACUGUAAACAUGUCAGGAUUUCAGUGGAUUCCAAUAAUUGCAUGGGAUAAGAUGUCACUCGCUGGCUAUAAACACACUAAUAACACUCCUCAGCAAGUUUUAGUUUUCUUUGCAUAUACAAAUGCACAUUCCCAUUGUAUUCUCAUGUAAAUAAACACAGCGUAUAAGUGGGCUGGCAGCAUUUGGAAAGAUUUCUCGUAGGCUUUGCUCAUCAACUAGAAUGGUUUGCUACUAUUUUAAAAUAAAUUCUGAAAGUUUCUUUGUGGUAAUUUAUGCAAGCUUCCAUAAUAUACUCACUCAAAAUAUGCAUGUUAAGUGCUUUUGUUCAGUGUUUCAUUUUAGAAAAGGAUUUCCUGAGGUUCCACCAAACAAUUUCACUGAGGCCUCACUGAAUUAUUAUUCAAAUAUAUUUACUGGAAAUGAGCAAAACCUUUCUUUUUAUUCUGGUAAUUAAUUCUCCACAGAGACACAAAAUGAUCUUCCUCCAUGUAAAGCCUGCAGGGCUCCACAGGAACAGGAGGGCGACCUGGAGACAACCUUGACACUUGGAUACAUGGGCUGCCAUUGUACUGACAUAUACGGGCCUUACUUUUAUCUAAGUUCCGGAAAUCAAGCCACAAAACCUGAAAUCCACUCUUCCAGGAUAUGGGAGACUGACUUUCAAUCCCCUGUCAUUGAUAAGUAAGACAAGGCUUGGAGUAUGCAAAAGAUCUUCUCUCAUCUUGCAAGCUGUAUCAUGGCUAGUUCACUUUGUUGGUUCUGGAUCUCACGCUGAAGAGUUUAGCUCCUCUUCUGCGCUAUCGAGAGCGCACAGCUACUCGAAACUUUUUUCUAUGCUCAACUCAGAGAACUAAAAACCAGAUGUUGCAAUAGUCAUAAAGUCAACAAGUAAAUCCGCUGGGAACAUAAACCUUAAUGUGAUGAUAGAAAGUCAUUUAUCACUUAGCAAAGGUGGAAAAUAAAGUUUAAAUCUCAA